rnacentral:snRNA from 1 species
GGAUGUGAGGGCACCUGGCUGCUGUGACAUCUGUCACUUCAUUGAUCGCCAGGGUUGACUCAGCUGAUCUGGCUGGCUCGGCAGCUGUCCCCGUCCUCACCAUUCCCUGUUUGAUGCUCCAGAAACUGUGCCUUCAGUUAAAGAGACUGACCUUCCCUAAAUAUAAGAGGAUAUGGGGUUCAGGCAAGGGUCUACAACAGCUGUGUGCUCGGCCAAAACUUCCAGAUUAGCUCUUGAAGUAAGAGUCCUUUGAUCCACUUAGAUUUGACCUUGGUACAAGGAGAUAGGUAUGGAUCGAUUCGAAUUCUU